GACGAACGCUGGCGGCGUGCCUAAUACAUGCAAGUAGAACGCACAGUUUAUACCGUAGCUUGCUACACCAUAGACUGUGAGUUGCGAACGGGUGAGUAACGCGUAGGUAACCUGCCUGGUAGCGGGGGAUAACUAUUGGAAACGAUAGCUAAUACCGCAUAAUAUUAAUUAUUGCAUGAUAAUUAAUUGAAAGGUGCAAUUGCACCACUACCAGAUGGACCUGCGUUGUAUUAGCUAGUAGGUGAGGUAACGGCUCACCUAGGCGACGAUACAUAGCCGACCUGGGGGGGGGAUCGGCAACACUGGGACUGAGCAACGGCCCAGACCCCUACGGGAGGCAGAAGGAGGGAAUCUUCGGCAAGGGACGAAAGUCGGACCGAGAAACGCCGCGGGAGGGAAGAAGUUUUUCGGAUCUUAAAGCUUUGUUGUAAGGGAAGAACGGGGGGGAGGGGGGAAAGUCCACACUUUGACGGUUUUUUACAAGAAAGGGACGGCUAACUACGG
rnacentral:rRNA from 1 species